rnacentral:lncRNA from 1 species
AUGAGAUACAAUAACUAAGUUAAUAAACCUAGUUAAAUGCCUAUUAGAUAAGCUAAAUGAUGAAACUUGUGGCAUUUAUGAUAGUAAGUUAAACUUGAGGGACUUAGAGUGCCAAACUUGGAAGUUUAAUUUAUUAAAACAAAAAUCACACACACACCCACACAAGGUGUGCGUGUGAUCGAGCAGGAGAAAAGGGGAAGGGGUGUAAACCCUAACCCACAUGAAAUCAUCAAAUUGGAAAAGGAUUUGAGGGUUAAUUGGAUGCAUGAACCAAGAUUUAUGAUCACUCAAGCGUUCUUGACACCAAGAUAGGAAUCCCAAAUUGACAUGGACUCAAGUAUGGAAAGCUAACGGGUCAAGCGGAGGUGAGGAAGCAAGCAUGAACACUAACGCUUGAGGUAAGUGAUUCCGUAAUCACUUCUUAGUUGUUUAUGUAAUGUUAUAUGCAAUUUAAUUAUAUGUGAUAAUUGAGGUCGAAUAGGAAUGAAUUGUAUGAUGUCAAUGAAGUAUUAAACGGAUUUUAGUUUUGAUCCGAGCAAGGUAGGUGUGAUUAAGAAAUUGUAGCUAAGUAGUGGAAUUGGUUACUUACGUAAGGAAUUCCUUUGUUAUUAAGGAUAGAGCAUAGUUGACUAAAAUGCCCUUGAUAGGUAUAUCGGGCAAACGAAAGUCGUUUGGAAACGAGCUAUUCGAUUAGAGUAAUGUCUUGGACAAGUAUGAAAGCGAAGUAUAGGGUUUGGUAUGUCAUAGUCCACUUAAUGCGCAAAUACCCAUAACGGGUCAAAUAUAAGCCUUUGAGCGAAAAUGGGUUAAGAGGAUGCAAGACGUCCGAGAAUUUAAUCUUUUAUGAUAGGUGCCAAUGAAAUUAUUAAAGUUCAUAUGAGAUUGAGGUCAAAUAAACAGAUUAUGUUGAUAAAUGCACGAACGGGUCAAAUAGUUAGAAAAUGAUAAUAUGUCGAAUGCACGUAAGUUAAGAAUUUCCUUAAUCCGGAGGUAGGAUUUUAAGUUAAUAUGAUAGAAUGUGAAUUUACAAGCAUGUAGGAAGAAACGGGAGGUUAAACGGGUAA